GACGAACGCUGGCGGCGUGCCUAAUACAUGCAAGUAGAACGCUGAAGAGAGGAGCUUGCUCUUCUUGGAUGAGUUGCGAACGGGUGAGUAACGCGUAGGUAACCUGCCUUGUAGCGGGGGAUAACUAUUUGAAACGAUAGCUAAUACCGCAUAACAAUGGAUGACACAUGUCAUUUAUUUGAAAGGGGCAAUUGCUCCACUACAAGAUGGACCUGCGUUGUAUUAGCUAGUAGGUGAGGUAAUGGCUCACCUAGGCGACGAUACAUAGCCGACCUGAGAGGGUGAUCGGCCACACUGGGACUGAGACACGGCCCAGACUCCUACGGGAGGCAGCAGUAGGGAAUCUUCGGCAAUGGGGGCAACCCUGACCGAGCAACGCCGCGGGAGUGAAGAAGGGUUUCGGAUCGUAAAGCUCUGUUGUAAGUCAAGAACGGGUGUGAGAGUGGAAAGUUCACACUGUGACGGUAGCUUAACAGAAAGGGACGGCUAACUACGUG
rnacentral:rRNA from 1 species